rnacentral:rRNA from 1 species
UGCAGUCGACGGUGAAAGCCCAGCUUGCUGGGUGGAUCAGUGGCGAACGGGUGAGUAACACGUGAGCAACCUGCCCUCCACUUCGGGAUAAGCCUUGGAAACGGGGUCUAAUACCGGAUAUGAGCACUCAUCGCAUGGUGGGUGUUGGAAAGUUUUUCGGUGGGGGAUGGGCUCGCGGCCUAUCAGCUUGUUGGUGGGGUGAUGGCCUACCAAGGCGUCGACGGGUAGCCGGCCUGAGAGGGCGACCGGCCACACUGGGACUGAGACACGGCCCAGACUCCUACGGGAGGCAGCAGUGGGGAAUAUUGCACAAUGGGCGCAAGCCUGAUGCAGCGACGCCGCGUGAGGGAUGACGGCCUUCGGGUUGUAAACCUCUUUCAGCAGGGAAGAAGCGCAAGUGACGGUACCUGCAGAAGAAGCGCCGGCUAACUACGUGCCAGCAGCCGCGGUAAUACGUAGGGCGCAAGCGUUGUCCGGAAUUAUUGGGCGUAAAGAGCUCGUAGGCGGUCUGUCGCGUCUGGUGUGAAAUCCCGAGGCUCAACCUCGGGCUUGCAUCGGGUACGGGCAGACUAGAGUGCGGUAGGGGAGACUGGAAUUCCUGGUGUAGCGGUGGAAUGCGCAGAUAUCAGGAGGAACACCGAUGGCGAAGGCAGGUCUCUGGGCCGCAACUGACGCUGAGGAGCGAAAGCAUGGGGAGCGAACAGGAUUAGAUACCCUGGUAGUCCAUGCCGUAAACGUUGGGCACUAGGU